rnacentral:rRNA from 1 species
GUAUGGUCCAAGCGUUAUCCGGAUUUACUGGGUGUAAAGGGAGCCCAGGCGGUGCGGCAAGUCUGAUGUGAAAGCCCGGGGCUCAACCCCGGUACUGCAUUGGAAACUGUCGUACUAGAGUGUCGGAGGGGUAAGCGGAAUUCCUAGUGUAGCGGUGAAAUGCGUAGAUAUUAGGAGGACCCCCAGUGGCGAAGGCGGCUUACUGGACGAUAACUGACGCUGAGGCUCGAAAGCGUGGGGAGCAACCAGGAUUAGAUCCCCUGGUAGUCCACGCCGUAACCGAUGAAUACUAGGUGUUGGGAAGCAUUGCUUCUCGGUGCCGUCGCAAACGCAGUAAGUAUUCCACCUGGGGAGUGCGUUCGCAAGAAUG